CGUACGCAACAUACCUCUAUCUGGGGCAUAGCCUUCUGAAAAGAAGAUUAACACCCCAUAAGAUCAUAAAGUGGCAUCAUUUAGUGAUUAAAAAUUUAUUGGAUAGAGAUUGGCGUGCGUCCUAUUAGCUAGUUGGUGCGGGUAAAGGCCCACCAAGGCGACGAUAGGUAGCUGGUGUGAGAGCACGACCAGUCACACGGGCACUGAGACACGGGCCCG
rnacentral:rRNA from 1 species